UACACACCGCCCGUCGCUACUACCGAUUGAAUGGUUUAGUAAGGUCCUCGGAUUGGUGCUAUUGUAGUUGCUCCGGCAGCUCGACCAGCGCUGAGAAGACGACCAAACUUGAUCAUUUAGAGGAAGUAAAAGUCGUAACAAGGUUUCCGUAGGUGAACCUGCGGAAGGAUCAUU
rnacentral:rRNA from 1 species